rnacentral:tRNA from 1 species
GCCUCGGUAGCUCAGUUGGCCAGAGCGGCUGCCUUGUAAGCAGUAGGUCGGGGGUUCAAAUCCCUCCCGAGGCU